rnacentral:lncRNA from 1 species
AUGGGGGCUGAGAGAAGGGAAAAAAGAAAAAAAAAAGGGGAAAAAUGCAAAAUAAAGGUGUCCUCUCCGCCGUGCCGCUCCCCGAGCCCAGCCGCCCGCCACCCCUCCCCGCUGCCCCCGUGCCCUCACCUGGUUGUAGGAGGCUUCCCAGGAGGAGGGGUAGUUGCAGAAGAAGGACGAGAAGAAGGCGUCUUCCGACAGCCCGCAGCCGGCCAUCCUCCGGGCAAGCAACCUCGCCGGGAAGGCAACGCAGCGGCAGCCCUCGCAAACUCUUGCCGCCUGCUCGGCGCCGGGUACCGAGCAGCACCGAGCCGUGCAGCGCCGAGCCGAGCCGUGCGGUGCCGAGCCGUACCGAGCCGUGCCCUGCCGGCGUCUCGCACGGUGCUCGGGGAGGCGGCGAGGGCAGCGGGCGCGGUGUGCGGGCGCCCAGCAGCCGGAGUCACGUGCGCGCGCUCGCUGCCGCUGCUCCGCCGCCGGGGCCGGGCCGCGCUGCAGCCCCCGGCGCCCGCCCCGUCGCCGUCCCCAUCCCGCCCCCCUCCCCGCUCCCGCCCGGAGCCGAGCCGGGCGCUGCCGGGACCCGCGGCCGCACCGCGGCGGCCAAGUGCCGGGCCCCGCCGCGCGCCCGCCGCCUCCCCGCGGCCCCGCCCCCGAAAAGUUGGGGCCCCGCGCGCGCGGGCGGCCGGCACGGGGGGGCGGGGCCAAGCGCGGGGCGGGGCGGGGCGGGGCGCGGUUCCCGCCCGCGGGAAACUUCGCCCGCGAGCCGCCGCGUGCCCGGCCCCGCCCCCGCCCCCGCCUCGGCCCCGCCGCCAUGUGGGGGCGGCAGCGGGCGGGAGGGGGCGCGGCCUGCGCCCAGCGUGCGCUUUGAUUCGUAUUUUUGUAGCUUUUUCUCUAUUUUAUAUAGCUUUUUCUUCUUUGUUAUACAUCUUCUUGGUUUUAUGCAUCUCUGUUUUUAUACAUCUUUUUAAUUUUAUACAUCUUUUUCUUUAUUUUUAUGUUUUUCUUUAUAUAUCUCUAUUUUUCAUACAUUUUAUUUUUUAUUUUUAUGCAUCUUUUUACUUUUUAUAUACCUUUAUCUUUUUAUUUUUAUACAUCUGUAUAUGUUUUCUUCCUAUAUCUUUAUUUUUAUACAUCUUUUUAUUUUUUAUAUACCUUCUUCUUCAUAUAUCUUUCUUUAUGUGUCUCUUUCUUUCUUUUUAUAUCACCUUUUCUCCUUUUUUUUCCCUUCCAGCCGUCAUUCUGCAGAAGGCCGGUACGUUUUGGGGCAGCACCCAGCCCCACCAACCCGGAGCCACCACUGGAAGAGGGCACAGACAGGUUUCUGGCAGCUCAGGCUCCGGACAAAGGCUGCUGAAGUUCCUCCCUCCUCCUUGCCUAGCAUUUAGGGAACAAGCCACCCGUGUAGUACCCAUGUAG